rnacentral:rRNA from 1 species
CGGGGGGAGCAAGCGUUGUUCGGAUUUACUGGGCGUAAAGGGCGCGUAGGCGGCCACCGCAAGUCGACUGUGAAAUCUCCGGGCUUAACCCGGAAAGGUCAGCCGAUACUGCGGGGCUAGAGUGCAGAAGGGGCAACUGGAAUUCUCGGUGUAGCGGUGAAAUGCGUAGAUAUCGAGAGGAACACCUGCGGCGAAGGCGGGUUGCUGGGCUGACACUGACGCUGAGGCGCGAAAGCUAGGGGAGCGAACGGGAUUAGAUACCCCGGUAGCCCUAGCCUUAAACGAUGAAUGCUUGGUGUCUGGGGUUUUAUAGUCCCCGGGCGCCGUCGCUAACGCUUUAAGCAUUCCGCCUGGGGAGUACGGUCGCAAGACUG